GGUGACAAAUUGAGUGACAAAGAAGUUGUAGACAACAUUGUCUCUCUAGUAGCUGCUGGAUAUAUAUCAACUUCCCUUGCAUCUACUUGGGCUAUAUACCUUCUUGCUAAGUAUCCAAUUGUGCUAAAAAAGCUUAGGGUAAUAUAUAUAAUUUUUCGUUGAUAAUUUGUAUUUGUCUAAGUGUCGGUCCAAUAAUUUUUAAUAGUAAAUAAGGUCCAAAACAAAUUUUAAUAUAUGAGACAUUUCUUAUCUGCAUAUGAAACCUUGUUUCGUUUAUAAAAUCCAAUAAAAAUAAUUUUUUUAUUGAUAGACCUAAAACGAGAACUUUAGCAGUCUUACCUUUAAAUCGGUCUUACACAGGUUGUUAAGUUUAACUUUAUGUUAACAAUUGCAGGAAGAGAACAUGGCUUUCAGAAAGGGAAGUCCUGAGGAUUUUAUUACACCUAAAGAUGUUUCGAAUUUAAAAUACACAAACAAGGUCUUUCAUUGGUUAAGGUUUUUUGUAUAAAUAUAAACACAAAUAUACAUAUUUAUAUAGGUUAUUAAAUUAAUUUGAACACAGGUCGUUGAAGAAGUGAUAAGAAUGGCCAAUAUUGCAGCUUGUGCUUUCAGAAAAGUUGACACUGAAGUUGAUUAUAAAGGUACAUGGUUGCAGUUUUUGAGAAAUUUACUACUCCCUUGUCCCAUUCUUUUUUUUGUCAAAUGAUUUUUUUAAGGUUAAUAAGUCUUUAUCCUCUGUAAUAUAGGUCAUUUAUGAUUUUUUUUCCUGUAAAAUUUUUAGAAAAUUUAUUGAAAAAAAAAAUAAUAUUGGUUUUUGUUUGGUCUAUUAACCCUUUUUUUUAUACCAAAUAUCUAUCUAUAUUGUACUCCCUCCGUCCCAUAAUAACUGAACAAUUUGCAAAAAAAAGUGUUUCAAAAUAACUAAACCAUUUCACUUUUUAAUUAAAUAUUAAUUACUUUUUUCCUUUUAUAACUCUAAUUAAUAUUACUUUUAUCAUUUCCAAUUCAAUAUAUUCCACUUUACAUUUAUGAUAGUGGAUAAUGCACUAAUAUGUAGAAGAGCCAAUUCGUAUUGGAAAAUGUGUGGUGAACAUCCAAGCACCCCAAUAACACAAUGUGAGAAAAAGAAAGAGACGAAUAUGAUAGAUGUGAUAGACCUCCAUAAUCUCCCUCCUUCGUGAACUCAAAAUAGACACUUUAGCGAAAACGUAAAAUAACACAACAAAAUUUUAGGGUGGAAAACCUUUUCAAUGUGAGUAAGGAAAAACUACGGGACCCUUGGGCCUCUUAAACUUCCACUCUAAUGAUAACGAGAAUACAACUACUCCACCCUUAGGUGGAUCUCACUACAAUUUAUCUCUCAAUUUGUAAGGAACACUCUCACAAAUUGGCUCACUAUUUUCUCACAAAAAAACUCUAGCUAUGCGGAUCACUUUUAUCUUUUGAGCAAGCCAAAGUUGCCUCACAUGCAUGAAGACACUUGUUAUUUUCCUUUCAUGCAAAACACCAAGUGUCAGUUGCAACACAUGCACCACACCAUGUAUCUCUUGCAAUACAUGCAUCAUAACACGUGUUACUCAUACACUACACUAUUUGUACACCAUACACCUUGCUACUUGUCAUCACAUGCAACCUUUCAUUUUGUCAAAUGUAUGUUGGCGGCGUGGCAAUAGUUGGACCCCACAAUUAGUGAUUUUAUUGGAAGAUAGAGAUAAAGAGAAUACAAUACUCCUAUUUUAAAUAAGAAUAUAAAAUUUAUAGAUGUCCAAAUAUAAGAGUUGAUUAAUAGCGAGUAUAUCAUUAAUGUCAUUUUUACUGGUCUGUAGCAGUGUGUGUCUAUAUAUAUAUAUAUAUAUAUAUAUAUAUAUAUAUAUAUAUAUAUAUAUAUAUAUAUGUAUGUAUGUGGAUUUUAUAACUGAUAUUUGAUGAUAAAACUAAUGUCUGACGAUCACAAAACCACAAUAUUUUUUGUAGGUUAUAAGAUACCAAAGGGAUGGAAUGUAAUUCUCCUCCUUCGUUAUCUUCAUACAGAUUCAAAGAAUUUUAAGGAUCCCAUGAAUUUCAAUCCUGAUAGAUGGAAUGUACGUAUCAUGAUUCUUCCUUAACCUGGAUUUCAAUAAAAAAAUUUGUCUUAAAUCUCCGACCCAUUUUCAAUUAAGAAAAAUACUUUCAUAAUUCGGAGUUUGACAAAAAAAUAUACAAAAUCUAGCAAAUGAUUAAUGUUUAGUUAGGAUGUGAUCUCAAUUUUUUUUACGAUUCGUUUUUAUCUAAAGUUUAUUAAUCAUUAGAGUGGACAUAUUUGAUUACGUUUCAAUGUUUUAUAUGCUAGUUAAUAUUUUUUCCUAUAUUUUUUUUUGUCAAGACAAAUAUACUAAGUGACAAUUUUAUAUAUAAAUUCUUAGGAACCAGCAAAGCCUGGAACAUACCAACCUUUUGGCGGUGGACAAAGACUAUGCCCUGGAAACACACUUGCAAGAAUUCAACUUGCACUUCUACUUCAUCAUUUGUCCAUAGGAUACAAGUAAUGUUUGAUCAUAGUAUUUUGAUAUAAUUAACAUUUAUGGUUUUUAACUUUAACAAACUUGGAUAACUAGACCAUCAUAUAUUUCUGAAAUAUCACUGUAUUCUUUGCUCAAUGUAGGAUACUUUAAGGUAGGGUAUAAUUUUUUUAUUUAUUUAUAUGAACUUAAUGCAGGUGGGAGCUUAUUAAUCCAAAUGCAGAUAUAAUUUAUCUUUCACAUCCUGCUCCUGUUGAUGGGGUUGAGGUCAAGUUCAGCAAAUUGUGAAGAAAAAACCAUGAAAAAAUGGACUGUGCUCAUUACCUAUAAGUUACUGUUUUCUCUUACUACAUGUAGAAUUGUAAACAAUGAAAAUGCUAAUUUUAAACCUUUAUGUUUGUUAUAUUUUGCUUAUGACUAGUAUCUACUAGAUGGAGACUUACAUGCGUGUCUCUUAGGAUUCCUAUUACACUUAAUGUAUUAUCACUUGUGUAAUUUGUGUUUCAAUUUAAAAUACCAACAUAAAAUCAAAUAUUAUUUGUUUACAAAUGCUAUUAUUUUUUCAUUCUUAAUUUGUCUUAAUAAGUCAAACAAAUGAGAAUAUUUAUUUUGUUAUUGCAAUGUGGUGUCUCAUAGGUCUACUAAUGUUGUAUUUAAGAGACUUAGUUUUUUCAUUCAAAAAUAAUUAGCGGCGCAAGGUGUAAUUUGUUUGUCAUCCACUUAUGUAUAAAUUAUAGCAUAGUUUUAAAAACUGGCUCGGACCGGCCGGUCGAACCGGUUGGACCAAGAACCGGAGGGGUAAGUGGUUCGAGCUAGGUAACGGAUCGGCCAUGCUUUUAAACCGGCGUGAACCGGAAUGACCCGGCCAAAACCGGUAAAAACUGGUGACUCGCCGGUUUUUUGAACCGGACCGGGUCAGUGAUUGAAGGGAAAAAGAAGCGGAAGAACAGAAGAAAACGAUGGACGGAGAAACGUUUUGAUACUUGAAAACAUCUUCAUCUUAAGUGGUUUAUGCUUUCACUAUUUUAAUUGCAUCUUUGACAUGAUAAUAAUACAUAUUGAUGUAGAAGAAGAAGAAGAAGAAGAAGAAAAAAAAGUAGAAUAUGAAAGGGAAAGGUCGCAUGCGGAAAGGAUAGAAAGAGAUGGGGAAAGUGUUUGAUGAUUUUUUUUUUAAUGUAAACUAGUUGGAGAGAUUAUUGUUUACAAUGGUGUGUAUUUCUUGGAAUUGUAACCAAACAUAUUGACUAUUCUUUAAAAAUUCAAGAAGUAAUAGAAGUCUCUGCCGUGUACAAUUAGUAAUUACUGCUAUUUUAAUUUUUUUAACUCUAUACUAUAUUUUUUUUUUUGGGAUAGGAUUAAUUCUAAAAUAAUGUGAAUCUCAUUUGGAAAAAAUAAAAUAAAAUGUGCAUCUAAUCAAAACAUACUACUAUAUGCAAGGUGGAUUUUUGCUUAAAAAAAUAUAUGCAAGGUGACUUUUAUGUGUUUUGUUUUAUUAAAAUGUAAAUAAAUAUUUGUGACAUUUUUAGGUUUUUAAAAAUAAUAGACAUUGAUUCAUCAGGUUUAGUCUAGUUUUUUUUUUUUUUUGACAAAAGGUUUAGUCUAGUUUAAUAAUAAACAAUAUUAUUUAUAAACGCCGAGUUGAAUACCGAGUCAAUCGGUUUAAUCCAGUUCAGUGAUGCGGUUUGACCAAUGACUCAGUGACCCAGUAACCUCACCGAAUCGAUCACCGAGCUGAGUUUUAAAACUAUGAAUUAUAGGCUUAAUUACAUGUUUGAUCUCUUAUGUUUAUUUUAGUUUUCAAGUUGAUCUCUUACGUUUUAAAAAUUUCAAAUGAAGUGAUCAAUUGAGAAAUUCUGCAAGAGUGCUUUCAUGUCUAUCUCUCUCUCAAACAACUUUCAUAUUUUAUGUAAUUUUUGUUCUUCUUCUCUGAUAACAGGUAUAUCAAGUGUGUGAAUGAAUGUGUAAAGUUAAUUACACCAACAUCUGUGAGGUGAAAAAGUGAGUUGCACCAACAUCUGAUAUCAAUAGCGACACACACGAACAUAAACUUCCCUGCAAAUCUUAUAAUUCUUGAUGGGAAGAAUUAUGAUGCAUAAUGGGAUAGAAUGCAUUGGUAAUCGUGCCACAUAAGAAGAAAGAAUUGCGCAUUGGUAAUCAAUUAUGGAUUGACAAUAAUCAAUUAUUAUAAGUUAAUAUUAUAUUAUAAAUUAUGAUCUAUUGUGUUAAACACUAAUUAGUUGAUGAAUAUGUGUGAUUGAGCUAUUCUUUCUAAAUGGACCGUGAUGGAUUGAACCAUUUAGCUAAGUCCAAUGAGAGGUCUCUACCUUCAGCCGUUUAGCUAUUUAAACGUCAUUCCAUCAGACGGUUAAGUAUAAUGAACAACAUUGUGAAAACCUAAAGCUAGACGGAAUGAGGGUAGUUAGUUAUCUUCUCUCAUCAUUCAUCAACCUAAUUCAAAAGGUAUACAAAUUCUUUUAUCAUCCCACCCCCUAAGCCCUUCCUUCCAAACUCCCAAACAAUGCUUAAAUUGCAGUUAAACCAACAUUAAUUUUAUUCUUUUUUUAAAAAAAAAAAAAAGAUUAAAAAUACAAUAAUGAUAUUUAUUUGUUCCAUUGUUGGUUCCAACAUUUGUUUGCUAGUAACCGAAAGUUGGAGGAAUAAACGAUGAAGAAUCUUACCUACAAAACACAAGUACUAUUAUAAAUUUAAAGAUACCCAUAACAUAUAAAUUUAGCUAACAUAGUGAGAAUUAGAUCUAGUGAUAAAGUUUUCAAUGGAUGCAAUUUAUAUAGGGUGGUUGGGAUUAAUGAUUGGGUUUGUGUUGUGGUGCUGGAAUGAGUGUUGGUAUGUUAUUCCUCUUAAAUUCAAAUGCUUAAAAUCUGCUACAAAGUUGCCACCUGGUCAUAUGGGUUUACCUUUCAUUGGAGAAACAAUUAGAUUUCUUUGGUACUUCAAAAUUGUUAGACGCCCAGAUGACUUCAUUAAUGUUAAACGACGCAAGUAAGUUUUUAUUUUUAUUUUUUUUAAGUAGUUUAGUGAUUAGAAUUCACCUUUUUUUAAAGUGAAUAAGUGAGGUGUCUAGUGGUUCGAACUCCAACCCCUGCAUAUAAUACUGCAUGUCCCUGCCAACUGGAUCAUGUUCACAAGAGACAAUAAAUUUUAUGUUUUGAGAAAUGUUAUUUAGACAUUAGAAAUAUAUACGGUAAACAAUCAUUUUGGCCUUUACAUGUGUAUAUUGUUCAUAGCAGUCUCGGACUCAACCAAAAAUUAUGCCUACCCUCUUUAUCUCUUGUAUUUGGUUUGAAUGUGUUGAAUAUUUAUUUUCUUGGACGUUUAGUUUGGUUACUGUUGUGAUUUGUUCUACUUUGUUUUGUUUGGAUUCACAACACUAGACAUUUUCAAUUUUAAUACAUUUGUUAUUAUAUAUUCAUUGUUGCCAUGACACAUGUUUAUUGGUUAACAAUGACACAGAUAUGGCGACGGGGUAGGAAUGUUUAGGACACACCUCUUUGGAGCACCAUCUAUCAUAGUAUACACUCCAACUGUUAAUAAAUUUGUGCUAUUUUCAGACGAUAAGUUCAAACAAGAAUGUCCCACAGUUGAACUUAUGGGUCGAACUUCAUUGGGGUCUGUCCAUGGGAAAGCCCAUACACGGGCCCGAAACUUUGUCACCAAUGCCAUCAAUCGGCCUGAUGCCCUAAGCCGCAUUGCUACUCUUGUUCAACCUCGCAUAGUCAAUGCUCUUCAAUCUUGGGCACAAAUAGGUAAAAUUAAAGCCAAGUUUGAAACCCAAAAGGUAUUUAACUACUUUGAUUACAUCGUAACUAAUUAUGUACUUAGCUUGUUAUACAUGUAACAAUCGUAAAACUAACUAAGAUGAUUCCUUGUUGUCUUUCCUAGACCCAAACUCUCAUAUUUUAAUAUCAUACCUUUGUUCUAAUUUCAUCAAAUCAUCAAUUCAUAUAGUUUAAACUUUAUCUCAACCAUGGAAUGAUAUAUUAUGUGGAAUUUCUCAUUAAGCACUUAGGAAUCUAAAUUAUUAAAUAUUAUAUGCAGCUGUCAUUUGAGAACAUUGGGAAAUUAUUUAUGGGCAAGGAGCCAGGCCCUUUUCUAAAUUCCUUGGAUAAGCUCUAUCAAGGCUUGCUUCCAGGUGUGAGAGCCUAUCCACUUAACAUUCCUGGUUUUGCAUACCACCAUGCUCUUCAGGUUAGAAGACAAAGUUUGCUUCAAUUAAUUUCUUGAUUCUAUAAUAUUCACCGCUAAAAAUAUAGUAAUUUGUUCCCGUGAGCUUAACUCAAUUGAUCGGAACAUUGCAUAAUAUAUGCAGGGACUGGGGUUCAAAUUCCAGACACCCCACUUCUCUGCAUUUAGAAUGUGAGUUCCAGCCACUAGAAUACUUAAAGAAAAAAAAAAUAUAAUAACUUAAACUAGCUAGUGGUGGAAAAAUGAAAUCACUCUCCAAUUAUUUCCUCACAUAAUUUAGUGACGAAAUUAGAGAUUUCACGUUUUCUUUCUUUAAAUUUCUAACUAAUUUAUAUUUUUCUUAGUAGUGUGAUUGAACUUCCAUAAUUAAUUAACCGGUAUACUCAAAAUUUCAGUGUAGAAGAAAGUUGGAGGACAUCUUUUGGAUGGAAUUAGAGAAAAGAAAAGCUGAAAAUAAGGUUGAAACAAGUGAUCUAAUGGAUGGGUUGAUGCAAAUUGAAGAUGGUGAAGGUGAUAAAUUGAGUGACAAAGAAGUUGUAGACAACAUUGUCUCUCUAGUGGCUGCUGGAUAUAUCCCUACUUCCCUUGCAUCAACUUGGGCUAUUUACCUUCUUGCUAAGUAUCCAAUUGUGCUAACAAAAUUGAGGGUAUACUAAAACUUUGUCUUACAUUCCAUUCAUGAUUUUAAAUUGCACUUCUACAACAACAUUGCGAGAAUAAUCGUUUCUGUGAACUCAACUCAAUUGAUAAGGACAAUGCAUAAUAUACGCAGAGUUCAAUAUUUGAAUCUCAGACACUCUACUUAUUCAUAUUUAAAUUGUACGAGCUCCAUACACUAGAUUACUUGAACAACACUACGAGUAUAAUUGUUGCAUCGACCUUAUAAUAAAAAAUAAUAAUUUGAAUUAACGGGAAAUUAGAAAUAAAAACAAUAAAAUUGUAUCCAAUCUUGAAGCUCUGCAUCGUCUCAUCUACAACAACUUGUUUGAUUCAACUAUCCCCUUUUUGUUUGCAAUUGUAGGAAGAGAACAUCGCUUUCACAAAGGGAAGUUUAGGGGAUUUAAUUACAGCUAAAGAUGUUUUGAAUUUAAAAUACACAAAUAAGGUCGUUGAUGAGGUGAUAAGAAUGGCCAAUGUUGCGGCUUUUGUUUUCAGGAAAGCUGCAAAUGAAGUCGAUUAUAAAGGUACAUUGAAUUGGUUGCCGAUCUUAAGAAAGUUACAGAAUUUUGUCUCUAUUUUUCUUUUGCAAGAAAAUAAAUAAUUAUCUCUUUUUCUGUCAUUAUAAACCUUCAUUUCAAUCUUCUAAUAUUAUCCUUUUUUUUUGCUGUCAAGUAAUCUAGUAAGAUAGAAAUUCAGUUUUUAAAGCUGAAUAAGUUAAGUGUCUAAGAUUUGAACUCCAAAUAUUUAUUAUGCUCUCUCUCUCUCUCUCUCUCUCUCUCUCUCUCUCCAACGCUGUAGCCACCCCGUCCACCACCCUACGUCCAUCGCGAUAGAGAAGCAUGUAGGAUGAUGGUCGGAGGUUGAAGGGAUGGACGGAGGUCGGAGGGUGUGAUGAGAGCGGAUGGUGAAAGAUGGCGGUGGCAAGGAUGAUGAACAGGUCGGAUGGUGUGGUGGACAGAGGGUAAGGACGGCAAAAGUUAUGGUGCAUAAGCCAUUUCCUUAUGCACCGUGCAUAAACACAUCACAACCAUCAGAUUUCUUUCAUUUUGAACAAAAAUGGUUUUGGCUCACUUUGGGGGUGUAGGAAGCAAUUAUGUUGGGAUUUAUGCACGGUGCAUAAAGAUUUCCUUAUGCACCAUAACCAAUCCCGGUAAGGACAUACGGUGAGAGAGGUGGAAGAAAUGGGCAACAUGUUUUACCAAAAUACCCUUAAUUUAAAAGACAAAAAGAUCAUGUGACUUAUUUGUGUGUUCCAAUAUCAUUUAUAUUUAAUUAAUGGUUUGUGUAUCAAGUAAUUGCUAAAACUAUAAAGAUAAUCCGUAAAAAAAAAAAAAAACAAACUUUAAUGAUAAUUCUAAAUUUAAUUUUCGUUAAAAACAAAAAUAAUUCGUUAAAAAAACAAAAAUAAUUAGCUGCAAUAGUAAUAACCACAAAAAGAAAAAAAUAAUAUUUUUCCCUUAAAAAAACAUAUUUUUCAAAAGCUACUAUUAAAAAAAAAAAACUACUGAAAAUAGAAAUGAUAAAUCCCUAUAAUUUUUUUUCCCUCUUAUCUAUAUUUUGGUGGUCAAAAUAUUAAAACUCAAAUUUCGUCUUAUUUUAUGAAAUACGAAGGCAAAAUGAAAAACCUUCUAUAAUUCCUCACAUCCCUAUAUUUUGAAUUCUGGAAUAUUCAAACAUACUUAUAUCCAGGGGCGGUUUUAAGGCCCGGCGAGCCUAAGGCAGUUGUCCGGGCUUCGGCCGAUUUUUUUGCAAUUUCUUAUGUAAAUCCCUCUGAAUUCUUUAUAUAAAUCUCUAUAAAUUGGACAGUUUCUUUAGAUUUUUUGAUUAUUUGCUUACAAUUUCUUAUGUAAACUCCUAUAAACGUGUUGUAAUUUUUUUUGCCCAGAUUUUAUAAUAAUUCUAGCUCCGCCGCUGCUUAUAUCAAAGUAAAAUCUAUGUUGAAUAUUUUUCUAUAUAUCAUAUUCCAGACAUGUCAGAAUGAAUAUAUCUCUUUACACUAAUGUGUUUACAUGAUUUUUUUUAGUAAGUGUUAACAUGAUUGUUUGGUCAAUAAAUCUGGCAUGACAUAAACUUGAUAUGUGGACGACAUUAGAUAUUCUCACAGCUAUGGAGUUUACAACUAAUUUCGUGAUCAUGAAAACACAAUAUUAUUUUUUUGUAGGUUAUAAGAUACCAAAGGGAUGGAAUGUAAUUGUCUUGCUUCGUUAUCUUCAUACAGACCCAGAGAAUUUUAAGGAUCCCAUGUAUUUCAACCCUGAUAGAUGGAACGUACGUAUGAAAACUCUUUCUUAAUUUAGGUUUCAAUAAUUUUUAUUCAAGUUAAUUUUUUUAUUUUCUAAAUUGAUAAUUAUUUUAUCAAGACAAUAAGUGCCAAUUUUAUAGUAUAAAAAUUCUUAGGAGCCAGCAAUGUCUGGAACAUACCAAGUUUUUGGAGCUGGACAGAGAUUAUGCCCUGGAAACAUGCUUGCGAGAAUUCAACUUGCACUUCUACUUCAUCAUUUGUCCAUAGGAUACAAGUAAUGUUCUAUCAUAGUAUUUGGUAUAUACUAACAUGUUUUUGGUUUUUUAACUCUGAUAACAAGGUAGGAUGACUACAUUGUGGUUUUGUUAUUUUAAUUAGGUUUAAAUAUGUCUUUAAUCCUUGCACUUUCAUCAGAUUUUGGCAUUGGUCACUACACUUUUUUUUUGUUUGGAAUUGGUCCCUGCACUUUGUAAAAAUAUUAGUAUUGGUCCAUCUAUUAACUUUCUGUUAAAAAAAAAACACAAAACUAUUGGUAUUGGUCUCUGGACUUUGUAAAAAUAUUGGUAUUGGUCCAUGCACUUUGUAAAACUAUUGAUAUUGGUGCCACAUGGCGUGAAAUGAUGGGGCCACGUGGCACUCCGUUGGUUUUGUAUUAUUUUUUUUUAACAGAAAAAUUAACAGAGGGACCAAUACCAAUAUUUUUACAAAGUGCAGGGACCAAUGUCAAACAAAAAAAAGUGCAGGGAUCAAUGCCAAAAUCUGAUGAAAGUGCAGGGACCAAUGACACAUUUAAACCUUUUAAUUAAGGGUGGGGGUUUUGGUUUGGGAUGAAAACUGAACCAAACCGAACUAAUUUUUUCUAAAACAUAAUCUCGGCAUAAUUUUGAGCUACUAUCUAAUUUUUAUUAUAUAUAUUUAUCAAUUUAAUGCAGGUGGGAGCUUAUUAAUCCAAACGCAGAUAUAGUUUAUCUUUCACAUCCUGCUCCGGUUGAUGGGGUCGAGGUCAAGUUCAGCAGAUUGUGAAGAAAAAAUCAUGAAAAUUGGAUUGUGUUCAGUUACAUCUAAGCCAAUUUGAACCGUUUUCCAUUUCUUAGAUUGUAGACUAAGAAAAUGCUAGCUUUAAACCGUGACGUUUGUUAGUUGCUGAUAUUGCUCUGAACCUUUUUCCUAUGAAUAUGAACGUAGACAUUUGGAUUCCUGUGUAAAUUAGGAGUGACAAUUUGAUCCAUCAAGUUCAUAUUCAUCUGAUCCAUUAAGUAUAAAAUCCACUCAAUCCAUCCAUCAAACAAUAGAUAGAUUAUUGAGAUAAAUAAUGUUUCCCCCCGCCAUUUGAGCGACUUUUGAUUUAUCCCCUUAAAAAUAAAACUUGGAUAUUCCACCUCGCCAUUAGAAGAUUCUUUUGUUUUCACUCUUGAUGUUAUAUGACUAGGUAAGUGAGCUUAUGUAGCGCGCUAAACCAACAUUUUUAAUUAUUUCAUCUUUAUUUUAUUUACACAUGUCAUUUGUAUUAUUAAAUAAAUUUAUGUAAAAAUUAAAAGAAAACAAAUAUUUUUUUUUCCUUUUACUCGUCUUUAUCCUUCAAACAUUCAUCUUCAUCUUCAUCUUCAAACUUUCAAACCUUUAUAUUCAUCAUCAUCACCCCAUAUCUUCAUCAACCCCAGCCAAAAUAUUCAUCACUUCAACCCAAAUCUUCAUCUAAACCCUUCAUCAUCAACCCUUGAUCAUCAAAUUUAUCAACAAUUCAUGUGGUUCCUCAUAUUCAUCUUCUUCAAAAUUUAGAAUUCAAAUCCAAAAUCGAUAAUUCAUCAUCAAGUUAAAAAACACAAAUCCAAAACCAAAAUUCAGCGACCGUAAAAAACUGUGAUGCUUUGGAGGGAUAUGUAGAUGUAGACUAUGUAGGAAAUAUAGACACUAGAAAAUCUUUGUCAGGUUUUGUGUUUACAUUGUUUGGAACAGUGGUUACUUGGAAGACAAAUCAACAAUCAGAUAUAGAUUUUUCAACAACUCAACUAGAAUACAUAGCCCUAGUUUUCUGUCUUUUUGGUCGACAAGUUUUAAGGGUUCGUUGAACCCUAUAAAUAGUCAGCUCGGGUUUAGGGUUAGUAGAGGUGGAAAAACAAGGGUUUUGCAGCCAUUACUCAAACUAGGGUUUAGGUAGAACUCUUAGACUUUCAAAUGGUAAGAAAUUUAAGGUUGGGAGAAUCAUCCUUGGAUUCACCUUGUAGAAUACUAAACAAAUUAAGUCUCUUUGCCACAAGUAGAGAUUCGAGAAAAUAGUAGAAAUAUGUUUGAAGACUGAUUCUUGUAAUUCCUUUGAAAUAUGUGUAAAGUUGCUCAAUUGAUUAGUGGAACAGAGAGUUUCUCCCCCCUCCAGAGUAGUCAAUUAUUGGACCGAACUGGUUAAACAAUAUUGUGCGUUCCUUUGGUUCGUGAUUAUUACUGUGUUCCUUUGGUUUUGGUUUCCAUCAAUUUGUUCCACAUAUAAAGUAACAUAAGUCUUUGUUCCAUUCCGUUUUUCCACUCCACUCUAUUAUGUUUCAUUCCGCUAUGUUUCACUCCACUCCAUUGUGUUCCAUUCUACUCCAUUAUGUUCCUUCAAUCUAAACAGAGUUUAAAGUUUCGACCCAGUUUCAAUUAGUUAAGUUUUGUUGUUAAAUAUCUGUUUUUUAGGGUUGUCAGAUAUUGUUGUUUAUUAGUUUAUCUUGGAGAAUCCUUGAAUAAAAAGUUAGAAUCUUAAAUAAGAAGUUUAAAUAGAAUUGCAGUACAUUCAGAUCCUACAAAAUAAGUAAGAAAAAUAAAUUUUAUUCUGUUUUCGAUUUUUUUAUUCUAAGAAAACCCUAAAGGAUCGAAAACCACAAUAACGAUAUUUAUUCGUUCCAUCUGCUUUUGUGUCACAUGGAGCACAUUGGUUAGUAUUUGUUUGCUAGUAACUAGAAGUUGGAGCCUUGGAGGAAUAAACCAUGAAGAAUCUUUUUUAGACAAUGAAACAAAUACUAUUAAUAUAAUAUAAAAAUAUGGCAAAUUCUAUGGUACAUUCAAAAAUUUGAAAUUUGAGUGUAUCGGUACACCAAAUCAUCAAAUUUAUAUUGAAACGGGUUGUUUUUUUAGAAGAAAACGAAUUGUUUUCUAUCAUUUACAAUUACAAUAAUUAGAUCUUAGUUACUGAAAGUGUCAACGAAAUAAAAUUUUACAUUUUUUGAAUUUUUAUUACAUAUAACAAAGAAUAUUUAUUAUUUUUUAUGAGAAAAUGUUAAAAAUUUAAUAUGAUUCUUAUAAACAAUGAAAUGAUGUUUAUUCUUAUAAAAUGAUGUCUUAUAAAAUAUAAAUAUUGAUAAAUAACUCUUUAUUUCAUUAAAUAAUCGUUAAAUUGUAAAUAUUUAAAGUAAGAGUACCGGUACACCUCGUAGAAGUUUCCAAUAAAGAUACUCAUGACAUAUAUAACAGAUAGAAUUACAGAUCAGAUAUAGUUUACUAAUGGAUGCAAUUUAUGUAGGAUGGUUUGGUCUAGUGAUUGGGUUUGUGUUGUGGUGGUGGAAUGAGUAUUGGUAUAUUGUUCCUCUCAAGUUCAAAUGCUCAAAAUCUGCCACAAAGUUACCACUUGGCCAUAUGGGUCUCCCUUUCAUUGGAGAAAUGCUUAGCUUUCUUUGGUAUUUCAAAAUUGUUAGACGCCCAGAUGACUUCAUUAACGCUAAACGACGCAAGUAAGUUUUAGGUUUUAGCUCCUGUCAAGAGCCAUCUUCUAAUCUAAAAUAUUUUUCAUCUAUGUGUAUCAAAAUGUAUUUUAUUUAAAUUUAAAUUUGUGAUCAACCAAAUGUAUCUCUGAAACAGAUAUGGCGAUGGAGUAGGUAUGUUUAGAACACACCUCUUUGGAGUACCAUCUAUCAUAGUAUACACACCAGCGGUUAACAAAUUUGUGCUAUUUUCAGACGAUAAUUUCAAACAAGAAUGGUCUACUGUUGAACUUCUAGGUCGAACUUCAAUGAUGGCUGUCCAUGGGAUUGCCCAUAUGAGGGUUCGUAACUUUGUCCUCAAUGCCAUCAAUCGGCCAAAGUCCCUAAGCCGCAUCGCUACUUUUGUCCAAGCUCGCAUUGUUACUACUCUUCAAUCUUGGGCUCAAAUGGGCAAAAUCAAAGUUAAGUUGAAAUCCAAAAGGUAUUUAAUUGUUGAUAUACUCCCUUUGUUUAUUUUUUAUUUUUUUGGCGUUAAACCCCUAAUUUUCAGAAGAAAGGGGCUCUGGUAAUCUAGAGCCCAGCUGUGAGGUAAAAAUAGUAUGAUCAAAAAUUAUUUCACCUAAAAAUUGAACUCGGGUUCUCUCAAACGAUUCAUCCUUAGUGAUCAUUAACCAAUGAUAGUGUAGAAUCCCUGCAAUAUUUAAAAAUUGUUAGAUGUAUAUUAGUAUGUGGUGGUCACUAUGCCAACAGAAAAAAAAAAAAAAAUCAUAUACAUCUACCAAUUUUUAAAUCAGUUAAUUGAAGAAAAAAAUGAUAAAAAAACAUCAUGUAACUAAUAUAGUAUUAAUUUUAUCUCUACCAUGCAAUGAUAUAUUAACAUGGAAUUUCUCAUUAAGCACAUAUGGAUCUAAAUUAUUAAAUAUUAAAUGCAGCUCACAUUUGACAACAUUGGGAAAUUAUUCUUAAGCAAGGAACCAGGCCCUUUUUUAAAUUCCUUGGAUAAGCUCUAUGAAGGCAUGGUUCCAGGACUACGAGCCUAUCCACUUAAUAUUCCUGGUUUUGCAUACCACCAUGCUCUUAAGGUUCAUGUAUAAAUUAAAUUUCCAUUUCAAUUAUCAACAAGUUUGCUUCAGUUAUAAUUCCUUGACAUUCUUUAGUACUAAUUUUGGACUUUAUAAUAAACAUGUACACUCCUUAAAAUUUUAGUGUAGAAGAAAGCUUGAGGACAUUUUUUGGAUGGAGUUAGGUAAAAGAAAGAAUGAAAAUAAGGUGAAAAGUACAAGUGAUCUAAUGGAUGGGUUGAUGCAAAUUGAAGAUGGUGAAGGUGAUAAAUUGAGUGACAAAGAAGUUGUAGACAACAUUGUCUCUCUAGUGAUUGGUGGAUAUAUGUCUACUUCCCUUUCAUCCAUGUGGGCUAUUUACCUUCUUGCUAAGUAUCCAAUUGUUCUAAAAAAGCUUAGGGUAUGUACUAAAAAAUACUAUUUCUUCUCUAAUUUUAUUGGUAACUUUUAGAGUGCCUAAACUUAAA
rnacentral:lncRNA from 1 species